GGAAUAGACGGGGACCCGCACAAGCGGUGGAGCAUGUGGUUUAAUUCGAAGAUACGCGAAGAACCUUACCUGGGCUUGAUAUCCUAAGAACCUUAUAGAGAUAUGAGGGUGCUAGCUUGCUAGAACUUAGAGACAGGUGCUGCACGGCUGUCGUCAGCUCGUGUCGUGAGAUGUUGGGUUAAGUCCCGCAACGAGCGCAACCCACGUAUUUAGUUGCUAACGGUUCGGCCGAGCACUCUAAAUAGACUGCCUUCGUAAGGAGGAGGAAGGUGUGGACGACGUCAAGUCAUCAUGGCCCUUAUGCCCAGGGCGACACACGUGCUACAAUGGCAUAUACAAUGAGACGCAAUACCGCGAGGUGGAGCAAAUCUAUAAAAUAUGUCCCAGUUCGGAUUGUUCUCUGCAACUCGAGAGCAUGAAGCCGGAAUCGCUAGUAAUCGUAGAUCAGCCAUGCUACGGUGAAUACGUUCCCGGGUCUUGUACUCACCGCCCGUCACACCAUGGGAGUUGAUUUCACUCGAAGCCGGAAUACUAAACUAGUUACCGUCCACAGUGGAAUCAGCGACUGGGGUGAAGUCGUAACAAGGUAACCGUAGGAGAACCUGCGGUUGGAUCACCUCCUUUCUA
rnacentral:rRNA from 1 species